CAGCAAGCGAGCAAGCCACCUCCACCUCAGUACACUCAUCCGAAUCUUUACGCCGGAGUGAUCAGUAGCAAACAUUAUGAAGAGGCAAUCUAAAUCUGCUGCUACUAGUUCCGGUGCUAAUCUGAAAUCAACUUCUUCAUCUCAGGUUCAUUCUAAAGCAACCAUGAGGUGGAAAAUGAAUUCGGAGAAACCAACCGCUCGAUGGAGAGAU